rnacentral:rRNA from 1 species
GACGAACGCUGGCGGCAUGCCUAAUACAUGCAAGUCGAACGAGCUUCCGUUGAAUGACGUGCUUGCACUGAUUUCAACAAUGAAGCGAGUGGCGAACUGGUGAGUAACACGUGGGAAAUCUGCCCAGAAGUAGGGGAUAACACUUGGAAACAGGUGCUAAUACCGUAUAACAACCCAAAAUCUGCAUGGAUUUUGUUUGAAAGGUGGCUUCGGCUAUCACUU